rnacentral:lncRNA from 1 species
AAUCCUGGUGAAUAUGAAAAAGAAUGUCGAUUAGAUCUUUAAAAAUAUUACGUAUUCAAAAGUGGUGAUUUUCAAUUUACCAAAAGGACCAAGACGAUAUUGGAUUAUUACCAUAACAACAUCGUGAGCCAUAAAAGUUUGUGGUUGAUAGGUUAUACUUCGACCCUAUAAAGCGCAAUUGAGUUUUUAGAAAAGAGCUUUUCAGUAUGCUGCAAGUUUGUUUACGUAUUCGAAAGAACCGCCAUGAAUCCAGACCAUAACGGGCAGCAAAUCGUCAUAAGUAGUAGAUGGAUCGGAAGCAUUACCAGGAAACUGUCGAUGAAAUAGCAUAUAAAAUCAAACAAUUUCUUAAUGCGAAAGUGCUAAACGUCUUGUUAGUAUCUCCCAAAGUAUGUUAACUUGCGCGUGAGUGAAGAUCGACUACUCUUCAGCGAAUACGCAAAUGCGCCAUUUUGCGUGUUUUGCGUUAACUGCAAUCUUGGAAUAGAGGUAUAUCUCUUGGUUAUGCGGGACUCGCGGACUAACCCAACGGCUAACUAUCUAAUACCAAGCCGGGCACAUGCCUCAAGCAGGUGAGCGCUAAGAAAGCAAUUUGUCACCUUUUUGCACACUGCACCAAACUGUCCAGGAGUGAGGGGUAGAAAAUUUUAUGAUGGCCGACUUUUGCGAACCCUCCCCUUUGUCGAAAUGUAUUGUUCCUGCCUUUUCAGUGAGUGGUUGCUUUCUGCUGUAAAUUAAGUGGCAUUUGGUAAAAUCUAACGUAAAAUUUGCUGACUCAAUGUGCAACUAGACAAUCAAUCCACACAUAGUCAGCUUUGAAACUGCCGUUUGUCUUUCUUUACAACACAAUUAGCAAGCACAUUUCUGCAGAUUUUUGACAGAAUGGCGACCUACGUCAAUUAAACCGGGAAGCAUGACGGUCAGAUUACCCAUCUGACAAGAGUCAACAGCAUAGCCGAGGUAUUUGGUGAUGAGAGCAUCGGACAGAGCGCUUGUGUCGUCACGAAUCCCUAAGAUGUUUCAAGUCAAUCAAACAGGUAUGACGUGAUAGUUUUGAGGUGUAUUCUUUCAAAUAAAACUCACCUAAAGCGCCAAGAACAGUUCUGACGCUGUCGUACUUCCAGAAGGUCUCAUUGUCAAAAAGAUUAUUCGGUUUAAUGUAGCCGCGAUAGAUGAUAUCAAAAGCCAUAAUGCCUUCUCCUUCAUUAGCGCCAAACAAAAUAUUCACGUCCGUCAUGUAUUCUCCUCGUUCAAUCAAAGUUUUUGGUUCCUCGGUCAAAUAGCGGACUGUUCCGGCAGUUUGCAUAAUGGGUGAUUGGCCUCCAAAUCCCAUGUAACCAUUUUUUUGGUCUUCUUUCUUCAGAAGCGUUAAUUAAGUUCAAUAAUUGUUUCUCCAAAUUGAAAAUUUCAUACCGAAAAUUCUUUUUGGGCGUUUCGCAAGGCUAUGGCAUCUAUGCUUCGCAAGCAGUGCAGCAAAUCGGCGUAAGGUUCGAGAGGGCAUCCAGCCAGCUCUGCAAUUCGAUAUCCAUGCUUUGUCGUGUUACGAUCAAGAGCCCAUUCAGUCAACAUAGAGCCUGAUUCGGCAAUGGCGUUGUGGAAAAGUCCUGCAUUUCGGACAGAUCAUAGUCUAAUCGAGGGGUGUAACGAUUUCAUUUCAUUUUCACUUACGUUCUCCUCGGGCUUGGGGGCAUAGAAGGAGGAAACCCACACUUGCUGCUCCGGCACUUUCCCCGACAAUGGUUACUUUGUCCUUAUCGCCACCAAAGUAUUUAAUGAACUUCUGGACCCAACGUAAAGCUUCAACCUGGUCUGCCAUGCCAGCAUUCCCUGGUAUUUCAUCCGUAUCGAGAGUAAGGAAUCCUUUUUUUUUUUUUAAAAAAGGUAAUUGCAGUAGUUGUGUUUAUAGUUACAAUUUAAAGUUUUUGUUAAAUUAUACCGAGGGCACCAAGUCUAUAUUGGAUUACAACGACAACGACAUCGUGUGCCAUAAAAGUGUUUGGUUCGUAAAGGGCACUUUGACCCUGAUUCAAGAAUGAAAAAGAAAUUUAAUUAUCCGUGUUUUUCCAUUAACUCAUUUCAUUGUCGAUCUUACAGAUACGAAUGUACCGCCGUGUAUCCAAACCAUGACAGGCAGCAGUUUGUCAAAUGUAGUAGAAGGAUCAGAAGCGUUCCCGGGAAACUAAAUUACAACCACAUUACAGGUAUGCAAUCUGCCAAGUUAGGCACGACGACGACGUUCGUGCUUCUUCUUCGAAGUCCAAUACGCGUUGGCACAUGCUUCGGCAGACUGUCGACUAACGGACCUCGGUCCCGCCUUAUCCACUGUUACUGUGUAAUACUAUUUCCGGGAGGCCAUUUCGGAAUACCUUCUCUCAUAGUCAAUUCAUCUGGUGUUGGUUCUCUGUGAAAUCAAAUGAACAGGCAUCGUGAACAGGUACAUAAUUUCAUCGGCGUGCAUUACACCUAAAAUUACCCAAACAAGGAUUUAUAUGGAUUUUCUAAUGCUGAAGAACAUUAUCCAUCGCACCACGCGGAAGUAUUUCGUCGGCGCUGAUCAAACUGACUUUUCCGAGAAAAUCGAAAGAGUACCAGUAUGCAUGAGGAUUGAAUUUGGUGUGGAGCAUCACAGUUUGCCAACCACCGGCUUUCAGGAACAAGUGAAGUUUCCCAUCUGACAAGAAUCAACAGCAUAACCG